AGAGUGUUCAAAGCAGGCCUUUGCUCGAAUACAUUAGCAUGGAAUAAUAGAAUAGGACGUGCGGUUCUAUUUUGUUGGUUUCUAGGACCGCCGUAAUGAUUAAUAGGGAUAGUCGGAGGCGUCAGUAUUCAGCUGUCAGAGGUGAAAUUCUUGGAUUUGCUGAAGACUAACUACUGCGAAAGCAUUCGCCAAGGAUGUUUUCAUUAAUCAGGGAACGAAAGUUAGGGGAUCGAAGACGAUCAGAUACCGUCGUAGUCUUAACCAUAAACUAUGCCGACUAGGGAUCGGACGGGAUUCUAUUAUGACCCGUUCGGCACCUUAC
rnacentral:rRNA from 1 species